GGAUGGGUAGUCUAGCCUGGUUAGGAUACCUGCCUCACACGCAGGUGGUCGAGAGUUCAAAUCUCUCCCCAUCCA
rnacentral:tRNA from 1 species